rnacentral:lncRNA from 1 species
GGACGCAAGGUCGCGCGCGGUGGUCGGUGGCGGUGCCUGAUAGGCUGUCCUCGCCGGAGUAGUUGUGGAGGGAGAUGAGAAAAUGAGAGGAGAUAAUUUAGGGUUAGAGAGAAGUGGGUAACAGAAUGAUGAGAAUGAGUUCAGAUUUUUAUGUUUGUCCUUAUCUUUCAAUUGCUUAAUUCUUAAAUUUACUAGUACGAUAAAUGUCGAUUAAUACCCGCUCUCAACCAUUAUUAUUUUUCCAUUAUUUUUAUCUUCUUAAUUAGUU